GUGCUCGCUUCAGCAGCACAUAUACUAAAAUUGGAAUGAUACAGAGAAGAUUAGUAUGACCUCUGUGCACAGAUGACACACAAAUUCGUGAAGCAUUCUAUAUUUUU
ensembl:snRNA U6 U6 spliceosomal RNA